rnacentral:lncRNA from 1 species
GUUUCAUGGAUGUCAACAUUGUAUCGGAUUGGGAAUCGAAGUUCACAUCUACAUUUCAGAAAGCCUUUCGGAAGGCACUUGGUACAAAGAUCAUAUGAGUACAUCUUAUCACCCGUUGACAUAUUGUCAGUUAGAGAGGACUAUUGAGGACUUAAAUGAUAUGUUCAGAGAUUGCGUGGGAUGGAAUUUCGGAAAGCAUCUACCUUUACCAGAGUUUGCCUACAUCGACAAUUAUCUUUCGAGUAAAAAAAAAAAAAAAAAAAAAAAAAAAAAAAAAAAAAAAAAAAAAAAAAAAAAAAAAAAAAAAAAAAAAAAAAAAAAAAAAAAAAAAAAAAAAAAAAAAAAAAAAAAAAAAAAAAAAAAAAAAAAAAAAAAAAAAAAAAAAAAAAAAAAAAAAAAAAAAAAAAAAAAAAAAAAAAAAAAAAAAAAAAAAAAAAAAAAAAAAAAAAAAAAAAAAAAAAAAAAAAAAAAAAAAAAAAAAAAAAAUUACUAUACAAGGGUUAUUUAUGGUAGACCUUAUAGUAUACCACUUUGUUGGACCAAAGUGGGGGAGCGACAUGAGUUAAAAGUAUUAAUGGUUCAAAAGACGGCUGAGCAAAUGGAAAUGCUCAAUGAUGGGCUUUCGGAAUCCCAUGACGUCAGAAGAUUUAUGCAGCUAAGCGCCAUAAAUAUUUGGAGCUACAUAUGGGCGACUUAAUAUACCUGAAAAUAAGGACAUUUCAAGAGGGGCCUAAGACUCAGAAGAUAAAGGAGCUUAAACCGAGACACAUGGAAUUGUAUCCUGCACUGGAGUGGAUUGGAUUAUUUGCUUGCAGUUACUUUAUCAGCAGUAUAUCAGCCUUCUAGUACUUGGUUCAUAUGACAGCAUUGCAAAAGUUGAGAAGGCGCUAUAACUAUUUUGCAGUAGACAUCAAGUGAGUUCAUAAAGAUUUUAUGAACCUUAUCAUCUAUUGGAGAUUUUGGAUCAUCAAGAGAAAACAGUUCGGGGAAUGUCGACUGUGUUUGUCCGAGUUCAUUGGGAGGGAGAUAAGACCCAGGAGGAGACCUGAAAGGUCGAGCGAAGAUUAGUAUUCGAGGUUUUGCUAUGAUGACAUUGGGCACGUUAGCUUAUGACAUGAAUUCGGGGACGAAUUCCUUAUAAGUGGAGGAGAAUUGUAAUGACCCACCACUCCCACCAUCUCCACUUCUUUCUCCAACCCCACCACUUCCAACUUCUUCUCCACCAUCUCCACCUUCUUCCCCACCACCUCCAUCUUCUUUAAAAUUAAGAAAAAGAGAGAGAGAGAGAGAGAGAGAGAGAGAGAGAGAGAAAGAGAGAGAGAAGAAGAAGAAGAAGGGAGAAAGCUCACCUGAGCUCGUCGCCGGAGCCACCACACGCCAGGACGUCGUAAAGCUCGUCACCACCAUCAUCCGCAACCAAAGGUAACCGGAAACCGCCAUAUUUUUGAGUUUAGUUUCGGCCGUUUUGGUAAAUCGACCAUAACUUCUUAACCGUUGCGAAUCUCGUGCAUCCAAGCCCAUCAUCGUGUUCCUCUCGUCGAGACGAAGCCGUAGACACCAAGCACGCCUCAAACGGAGCCCGGACGCAGCCGUACGCGCCUCCAGAAAACCGCCCUUCGCGCGCGCGUGAAACGCACGCGCCGCCGCCGGAAAUCGUCGCCACCGCAGCUCCGCCGCCGGACCACCGUCCGCCGCCGCAGCUCCGCCGUCGCCGCCGGCCAACUUUCCGGUAAGCCGCCGCCGCAGCUCCGCCGUCGCCGCCGGUGACCGACACCGGUGACUCACCGGCGACUCGGUCAACUCGGCCGAGUCAACUCAGUGAGUCAACUCGGUUGACUCGGUUAACCGGUUGGUUAGCCGGUUUAAAUUGAUUUUGGUUCGGUUAGGGUAAACCGGUCGGUUUAGUCAAAUCGAUUUCCGGGUUGACUUUGACCGGGUUGACUUUGACCAGCGGGUUGACUUUUUUCGAAAACCUUGACCAGUUCCGUUUUCGACCGUUCGAAAGGCGUUCUGACUCAGAAUUUCGAUCUGAUUUCAGAUAUGGAGUCUAUUUGAGCAGCUGGAGUUCAUAGACAACACUUUUCUAUUGCUAAGGUGAGGGUCUAUUCCCGAACUCCUCUUAUUCGGCUUAGGACCUCGAAUAAGUAUAAUUUAUUUCUAAUGUGUUCCGUCUGUGUGAAAUCGAGUCUAUCAUUGCUUGUUUAGUUUUAGGUUCUUUGCAUAAACCGGAACUAGGGGGUUAGAGGAUUCAACAUUGAUUGUUUCACUUAAUGUAAAUUCUUAGCUAGGAUUGUUUUUGUUUGGAGACGGAUACAGAGUCGGACUGCUGUAUGCCGGAUUGUAUGGAGGUCACAGCCAACUUUAGUCGACCGGUUGAGCUGUAGACUGGAAGUGUCGAUAAAUCGUCUACGGGCGUGUGUUACCGAGCACUUUUUCGGUGUGUGUAUGAACCGAGCACCUUUUCGGUAGUGUUUUGGCCUGUUAGUGGGCGGCGAGUGUGCACCUCGCUAGGACCAUUGUUUGUUGCUUGAGUACUUUAGGUACUGUGUUUGACAUGCAUUAGAAUUAAAUUAUAUUUAUUCGGAGUGCUAUGUCCGGGUCCAUGGACUUCGGGGUAGCAUCCCAUACCUCACUGAGCGAUUCCCCUGUCGCUCACCCCUCACUCUUCCCCCUUUCAGGUGAGACAAACAAGUAUGUGAUAUUUGGACGGACUUGGUGCUACUGGACUUUUCUUUCGGAUUUUAUUUGGGCAUGGGUGAGAGUUGUCGGGUUUAUGGGCUUUUAUAUUACAGGAUAUUGUUGGUGGCCCGUCGUCCUUAGUGUCAGGGAGACGGGUAUCACAUUGUUGUAUGAUGACGCGUCGGGGGUGACACGCUGUCCUCCAUAUAGGAGGUGACGGGUGUCACAGAUAAUUUCUUCAUCCUAACUCCUAUGUGAUUUAUUCAACUUAUUUGGUAUCAGAGCGGGUUCCAUCCCGGUUCCGUCCGGGAUGGCGGUCAGGGGAUUCGGUUUUCAUCGGUUUUCAACUUUAAAAAAAAAAAAACUAUAUAUUUAUUUAUACAUUUCGAAAUUCUUUUAGCACCAUUCUGUCCUGUAAUUACUAACUCAAAUGUCUCUUUCUAUGACGAUGAGUAAAAUCAUCGUCAUUCGUCCUUCGACUAAUAAGGUUCUCGACAGAUGUUCAGCAGUUGCGUGAAGUCCAAGUUCGUCAGUUUUCUCGGGAGUUAUCAGUUUCUUCGGACAUGAUUUCGAGGCUAUCCAGGAGUGGAUAUAUGACGUUUCUGCCACCAGCCCACUUCAAGCAAUCGUUCCACGAGUUUUGUUACUGGAGAUUUUGUGGUGUGUGAUAUGAGCCAUUGGUUGGCAUGUGUUGUUGUGUGUACGAGUAUAUUGACUAUUUUGGAGAUAUAUUUGUUUUGUGAACUCGUGGAGAUCGCUUUUGAAUUGGGGUGCAGCAGCUUGCGUUGUGUGGGUGUUGGAGUUACACUUUGGUAUGUUUACCAAUUUUGGCAGUGUUGAUCGUUUCAGAGAUGUGUCAGUUUGGACAACUGACAUAGGACAUUGGGAGCUGUUUAUAUCCAUCGCAGGGUACCAGUUAUGCUUGGAGGGCCGAUUUGUUCGGAUAUUCAUCAGAGAUGGAGCUACGUUUUUACGAUGUUAUCCUUGGGACGGAUUGAUUGUCACGGCAUCAAGUAGUGUUGGAUUGCCUGAUGGCAAGAGUUCCGAUUGCUGGAGCAGAUGGAAGUUGUUAGUGCAUGCAUGCUACAUACUGAGGAGUUAUGGGAUACAAGGACAUAGAGAUUUUUGACUACCAUCUCGAUGGUUAAGGCUGAUGGACAACAUGAGCUGCAGGAUCUUCCGGUUAUUGCAGAGUAUGAGGACAUAUUUGUGACCUUUGGAACGGUCAUCACAUGACACAUGAGAAACUCUUGCGAUUUGUUUGGAGCAAACAACACCAGUUUCACAAGUUUUAUACCGAUUAGCACCAACAGAGAUGACAAAGCUGAAAGAGCAUGUUGAAGAUUCAUCAGACAAGGGUUUUAUCAGACCGGGUACUUUACCGUGGGGAACAUCAUCAUUGUUGUUGUAAAGAAGAAAGGUGGGAGUUUCAAUUUUGUAUCGACUGCAAAGGUCUGAACAAAGUGACCAUUAAAGAUAAGUAUCGCUUCCGCGCGUUGAUGAAUUAUUGGAUUAUUACAGGAAGUUUAUAGUUCUUGAAGGUUGACUUGGCAUCAGAACACCAUCAGAUUACUAUAUUUGAAGAGUAUCUACUGAAUGUGAAUUUUUGUAUACAUUAUGGAUAUUAUGGGACGCAGUGAUACCAUUUGGCUCGACAAAGGCACUGUUGCAUUCAUGAAGAUAUGAAUGACGUUUUCAUGAACAUUUGGAUAGGUGUGCGAUUGUAUUCAUCGAUGACAUCCUGAUUUAUUUUGGAGAAGAAAGGAGAUUUGUGAGCAUUUCGCGGAUUGCGUUGGAUAAGCCUGGAGAGCAUCAGUUGUUCGCUAAGUUGAGGAAGUGUAGCUUCUGGCAGAGGAAUGUUGUAUUUUUGGCUGACAUGGUUUUGGAAGCAGAAUUUUGAUGGAUCAAAAGAAGAUUAAUACCGUUUCGGGGAGGUCGAAACCUAAGAGCGCUACAAAGAUCUGCCGUUCUUUUUGGGUUAAUAGUGUUCUACUGGAAGUUCAUCAAGGGUUUCACCGGUAUAGUAAUGUUAAAGACGUGGUCUGCAUGUAAAGACGUAAAGUGUGGCUGGAUAGAUUUUUGUUCAAGGAGUUUCACUGAAUUGAAGCACAACUAAUGAAGACACCAGUUUUGGGUUCUACUGAGGCUGAGGCUUACUGUGAUGUGUCAGAUACUGGAUUGGAUUUAAAUUAAGGUAUGAGGAUUAAGUCAUUCAUAUGCAUCACGCCAGAGAGGCUGUAGUGGUAUUUGCGUUAUCGUUUUGGAAAUCGUAAUUGUACGGGAAGGAAAUUCAGAUUCUCUGGGAUUAUUAGAAUGUGAAAUUUAUCUUCAUUUAUUAAAAACUUGUACUUGGACAGUGCAGUUGGAUUGAGUUUGUAGCAGGCUAUAGUCUGGAUAUCGCAUACUAUCUGGUAAGGACAACCAGGUGAUAAAUGCCUUGGGUAGGCGUAUGAGCUGUAUCUCAGGAACCAAGAAGGUUCAUGAGUUGGAGAUUUGCUAGUCUCAGGUUGGGUGUCAUUACUAUCAAUGGAGAGACAGAUGUCCUUGGGACUUUGGAGCAGGCAGUUUUGCUAUGGAGGAUACACAAGCACAAGUUAGCAUUCUGGAUUGGUUGAACAGAUCGAGAUUGGGAGUAUUGGAUAUCAUACAGCUUUGAGCAGGAUAUACUUGUACUGAAACCGAGUUUGUGUGUUGGACGAUAAGUUGUUAAGAAAAGGAAUCUUACAACAAACAUAUCACUCGUGUUUCUCUACCCAUCGGGAAGACCAAAGGGUACAAAGAUAUGAAGAGUUAACUAUAAUUGGUGUAGUAUGAAGAUGUUUGUAACUACAUUACGUCGCGGUGCCAGACAUGUUAUAUGGCAAUAACAGAGGAUCAGUCAUCUAUCAUGUUAUUUUUGAGCUUGCUUUUGCUGGAGUAGAAAUGAGGCAUGGUGAUUAUGGACAUUGUUAUUGGAUUUUAAAUCACCAUAUGUGGAAAGGAUGCCACAUGGGUAGUCAUGGAUAGACUUACCAAGUCAGCCCAUUACCUAAGUAAUUAAGAAGAUAAUCAGGGCUAAUCAAUUGGAGCAGACCUACAUUAUUGAGUUCAGGAAGUUUCAUGGAUGUCAACAUUGUAUCGGAUUGGGAAUCGAAGUUCACAUCUACAUUUCAGAAAGCCUUUCGGAAGGCACUUGGUACAAAGAUCAUAUGAGUACAUCUUAUCACCCGUUGACAUAUUGUCAGUUAGAGAGGACUAUUGAGGACUUAAAUGAUAUGUUCAGAGAUUGCGUGGGAUGGAAUUUCGGAAAGCAUCUACCUUUACCAGAGUUUGCCUACAUCGACAAUUAUCUUUCGAGUAAAAAAAAAAAAAAAAAAAAAAAAAAAAAAAAAAAA